rnacentral:lncRNA from 1 species
AAAAGUUGCUCUCAGGCCAGAAGAGACCAUUUAAAAGCUCUCCGCCGGUUUCAGAACACAAAUAAAUUUCCCAAUCCUCUGCAAAGACAGAACUGAAGAAUUACUGGACAGCACGCCAGAGGCAGGGACCUGAGGGCAGGCCAUCUUGCUAUGCCGGGAGGAGACGGUCACUGUUGCUAAGGGUCAUCCAUCCUUAGUCUCGAAGAAAUCUCUUCCUGAUCUCUUCACCAACUCUCCCCACUACUAGAGAAUUGAGCUACUCCCAAAGAUGAGGCCUUGAUGUGCAGACGCGAUGGGGCAACGAUGAGACCGAAUAAACAAUUGACAUCUAACCCCAGAAGAAGAGCAAGGACCUGGGACCCAGAAGGAAGAGGCUGUGAGAGGUACAAACUGCAGGCAUGGACAUGAUGCAUAUAGAGGACAGCCACACUAAGCUUUGAGGCUUCUGGAGGCAACACAGAGUAACCAUUUGAAUGGAAAUCACUGAACAGACACAGAGAAAGAGAAACCAUCCAAUGACUUGAGGGUGACACCAAGUUUGCCUGGUGGCCUCAGGACUCCUGGCUCACUGGUCCCACUGUCUCCCCCCGCCCAUCAGAAUACAUGAAGGCUGGUGGGGCACGGUGGCCCAUGUCUGUAAUCCCAACACUUUGGGAGGCCAAGGCGGGCAGAUCACCUGAGUUCGAGACCAGCCUGGCCAACAUGGUGAAACCUCGGCUCUACUAAAAAUACAAAAUUAGCUGAGUGUGGUGGCACAUGCCUGUAAUCCCAGCUACUCGGGAGGCUGAGGCAGGAGAAUCACUUGAACCCAGGAGGCUGAGGUUGCAGUGAGCUGGGAUCAUGCCACUGCACUCCAGCCUGGCGACAGAGUGAGACUCCAUCUCCAAAAAAAAAAAAAAAAAAAAUACGUGAAGGCUUUCCUACCACACCAUGCAUGUGGGACACGUCAGAGUGGGAAGCUCCAUGGAUCUACAGCAAGGCUGUUCGACUAAGAGUGAAUAAAUGGGUGAAUUCCAUGGGCUGAACAUGUCAGGAAUAUUUUCUUCUUAGGGCAGCGAUCUUAACUUCUGGAGAAAUUGAGUUCCUAAGCUGUAGAGCCUUAGAACCCUGGCAUACAUUUCUGUGGAGAAACAGAAAGCCCAGACAUCCCAGUCCACACACGUCUUUCUUCUGACCAACACCAGCCAUAGGAAGCAAGGCCCGGGAGAGCACUGGGGACAGGGCAUGUCCGCCCGGAGCAGGGCAGGAGAGCACAGGCAUGUGAUGCAGCCCUGGGUCUGUCGUCCCGUUUGCGCCGGGAAUGAAUCGGGUUUUUCUAGCCUCUAAGCACAGAGGUAUUUUUGACUCAGCACCGUGAAGAGACGACAAUAGCUCAGCUUCUGCCAGCUGCCCGAUUUAGACACGAGACCUUCACUACAUAUUUCUGUCUCUUGCCCUACUCAGAAGAAGGACUUAAAAAUCCCCCAAGACGGAACUGAGUUUUCCUCUGUUCAUUUUUUUAAAUUACACUACUUGAAGAACCCCAAACAAAUAAGGCUCUGGGCCUCCAAGACCAUGUAAUCCAUUGUGCUCGUGUGGAAGAGCUGCCCCCAGUAGAGGCAACAGGAAUGGCCUGGUCACUCAGCAGGUCCCCUGCCCAUCUUCCCACCACCCCUUGCCCCACCCACCGGGAAGGAGGAGGGAGCACAGGCUGCUUUGAGCAGUCAUCGUGCCUCUACCUGGAGCCUGUACUCACUGUCUUGGGGGCCGGUAUUUCCCAGGAGGGCUAUUGUGUGUUUCCUUGUCUGUUUCUCUUUCUGGAAUGCGAGCUGUUUCAAAAUGAACUGAAGAUCAUUCACCUCCACCCCUCAGCUCUCAGCAUAGAGGUGUGCACAGAGUACAUGCUCAGUAAAUGUUUAACAGAUAUAUUUUUAACUUAUUUUAUUUUACUUUUUUUUUCUUUUUCUUUUUUUUUUUUUUUUUGAGACAAGAGUCUUGCUCCAUCACCCAGGCUGGAGUGCAGUGGCCUGAUCUUGGCUCACUGCAACCUUCACCUCCCGGGUUCAAGUGAUUUUCCUGCCUCAGCCUCCCAAGCAGCUGAGAUUACAGGCAUGCACUACCGCGCUUGGCUAAUUUUUGUAUUUUUAGUAGAGAUGGGGUUUCACCACGUUGGCCAGGCUGGCCUCGAACUCCAGACCUCAAGUAAUCUUCCCAUCUCGGCCUCCCAAAGUGCUGGGAUUACAGGCAUGAGCCACUGCACCUGGUCUAUUUAUUUAUUUAUUUUUGAGACGGAGUUUUGCUCUUGUUGCCCAGGCUGGAGUACUGCCCAGGUGAUCUGUCUGCCUUGGCCUCCCAAAAUGCUGGGAUUACAGGCGUGAGCCACCGUACCCGGCCUGUAUCUUGUAGUCUUGCUGAACUCACUUAUUAGUUCUAGGAGGUUUUUUUGUAGACUCCUUGGGAUAUUCAUGUGAACGGUCAUAUCAUCUGCAAACAGGGACAAUUUUUUUAUUGCUUUCCAAUCUGUAUUCCUUUUCUUUUCUUUCUUCUCUUUUUCUUUUUGUGUCAUAUUGCACUAACUAUUUCCAGCUCCAUGUUGAAUACAUACUUUACUUUUAAAAUAGAAUUUUAAAAAUCUUUUCUUUCUUUUACAAGUUGCAAAACACUUUUUCUCCUAAACCAUCUUCAGCAUUUUAAAAAUGCAUCUGUUAGGCUGGGGAUGGUGGCUCAUGCCUGUAAUCCCAGCACUUCGGGAAGCCAAGGCAGGCAGAUCACCUGAGGUCAGGAGUUUGAGACCAGCCUGGCCAACAUGGUGAAACCCCUCUCUACUAAAAAUACACAAAAUUAGCCGGGUAUGGCGGUGGGCACCUGUAAUCCCAGCUACUCAGAAGGCUGAGGCAGGAGAAUCACUUGAACCUGGG